rnacentral:rRNA from 1 species
AUUGAACGCUGGCGGCAGGCCUAACACAUGCAAGUCGAACGAGUGGCGGACGGGUGAGUAAUGUCUGGGAAACUGCCCGAUGGAGGGGGAUAACUACUGGACACGGUAGCUAAUACCGCCAACUCUAGGAUGUGCCCAGAUGGGAUGAGCUAGUAGGUGUGGUAAUGGCUCACCUAGGCGACGAUCCCUAGCUGGUCUGAGAGGCUGACCAGCAACACUGGAACUGAGACACGGUCCAGACUCCUACGGGAGGCAGCAGUGGGGAAUAUUGCACAAUGGGCGCAAGCCUGAUGCAGCCAUGCCGCGUGUAUGAAGAAGGCCUUCGGGUUGUAAAGUACUUUCAGCAGGGAGGCGUUACCCGAAGAAGAAGCACCGGCUAACUACGUGCCAGCCGCCGCGGUAAUUC